CCUACGGGUGGCAGCAGUGAGGAAUAUUGGUCAAUGGGCGAGAGCCUGAACCAGCCAAGUCGCGUGAGGGAGUACUGCCCUAUGGGUUGUAAACCUCUUUUGUCGGGGAGCAAAAGCCGGACGUGUCCGGCUGUGAGAGUACCCGAAGAAAAAGCAUCGGCAAACUCCGUGCCAGCAGCCGCGGUAAUACGGAGGAUGCGAGCGUUAUCCGGAGUUAUUGGGUUUAAGGGGUGCGCAGGCGGAUUUUUAAGUCAGCGGUAAAAUCGUGGGGCUCAACCCCAUCCAGCCGGUGAAACUGGGGAUCUAGAGUGUGCGAGAGGUAUGCGGAAUGCGUGGUGUAGCGGUGAAAUGCAUAGAUAUCACGCAGAACCCCGAUUGCGAAGGCAGCAUACCGGUGCACAACUGACGCUCAGGCACGAAAGCGUGGGUAUCGAACAGGAUUAGAUACCCGGUAGUC
rnacentral:rRNA from 1 species